rnacentral:rRNA from 1 species
GAUGAACGCUAGCUACAGGCUUAACACAUGCAAGUCGAGGGGAAACGAUAUUGGAAGCUUGCUUCCGAUAGGCGUCGACCGGCGCACGGGUGAGUAACGCGUAUCCAACCUGCCCACCACUUGGGGAUAACCUUGCGAAAGUAAGACUAAUACCCAAUGACGUCUCUAGAAGACAUCUGAAAGAGAUUAAAGAUUUAUCGGUGAUGGAUGGGGAUGCGUCUGAUUAGCUUGUUGGCGGGGUAACGGCCCACCAAGGCGACGAUCAGGAGGGGUUCUGAGAGGAAGGUCCCCCACAUUGGAACUGAGACACGGUCCAAACUCAUACGGUAGGCAGCAGUGAGGAAUAUUGGUCAAUGGGCGAGAGCCUGAACCAGCCAAGUAGCGUGCAGGAUGACGGCCCUAUGGGUUGUAAACUGCUUUUAUAAGGGAAUAAAGUGAGUCUCAUGAGACUUUUUGCAUGUACCUUAUGAAUAAGGACCGGCUAAUUCCGUGCCAGCAGCCGCCGUAA